GGUUAAGCGACUAAGCGUACACGGUGGAUGCCCUGGCAGUCAGAGGCGAUGAAGGACGUGCUAAUCUGCGAUAAGCGUCGGUAAGGUGAUAUGAACCGUUAUAACCGGCGAUUUCCGAAUGGGGAAACCCAGUGUGAUUCGUCACACUAUCAUUAACUGAAUCCAUAGGUUAAUGAGGCGAACCGGGGGAACUGAAACAUCUAAGUACCCCGAGGAAAAGAAAUCAACCGAGAUUCCCCCAGUAGCGGCGAGCGAACGGGGAGCAGCCCAGAGCCUGAAUCAGUGUGUGUGUUAGUGGAAGCGUCUGGAAAGGCGUGCGAUACAGGGUGACAGCCCCGUACACAAAAAUGCACAUAUUGUGAGCUCGAUGAGUAGGGCGGGACACGUGGUAUCCUGUCUGAAUAUGGGGGGACCAUCCUCCAAGGCUAAAUACUCCUGACUGACCGAUAGUGAACCAGUACCGUGAGGGAAAGGCGAAAAGAACCCCGGCGAGGGGAGUGAAAAAGAACCUGAAACCGUGUACGUACAAGCAGUGGGAGCACGCUUAGGCGUGUGACUGCGUACCUUUUGUAUAAUGGGUCAGCGACUUAUAUUCUGUAGCAAGGUUAACCGAAUAGGGGAGCCGAAGGGAAACCGAGUCUUAACUGGGCGUUAAGUUGCAGGGUAUAGACCCGAAACCCGGUGAUCUAGCCAUGGGCAGGUUGAAGGUUGGGUAACACUAACUGGAGGACCGAACCGACUAAUGUUGAAAAAUUAGCGGAUGACUUGUGGCUGGGGGUGAAAGGCCAAUCAAACCGGGAGAUAGCUGGUUCUCCCCGAAAGCUAUUUAGGUAGCGCCUCGUGAAUUCAUCUCCGGGGGUAGAGCACUGUUUCGGCAAGGGGGUCAUCCCGACUUACCAACCCGAUGCAAACUGCGAAUACCGGAGAAUGUUAUCACGGGAGACACACGGCGGGUGCUAACGUCCGUCGUGAAGAGGGAAACAACCCAGACCGCCAGCUAAGGUCCCAAAGUCAUGGUUAAGUGGGAAACGAUGUGGGAAGGCCCAGACAGCCAGGAUGUUGGCUUAGAAGCAGCCAUCAUUUAAAGAAAGCGUAAUAGCUCACUGGUCGAGUCGGCCUGCGCGGAAGAUGUAACGGGGCUAAACCAUGCACCGAAGCUGCGGCAGCGACGCUUAUGCGUUGUUGGGUAGGGGAGCGUUCUGUAAGCCUGUGAAGGUGUGCUGUGAGGCAUGCUGGAGGUAUCAGAAGUGCGAAUGCUGACAUAAGUAACGAUAAAGCGGGUGAAAAGCCCGCUCGCCGGAAGACCAAGGGUUCCUGUCCAACGUUAAUCGGGGCAGGGUGAGUCGACCCCUAAGGCGAGGCCGAAAGGCGUAGUCGAUGGGAAACAGGUUAAUAUUCCUGUACUUGGUGUUACUGCGAAGGGGGGACGGAGAAGGCUAUGUUGGCCGGGCGACGGUUGUCCCGGUUUAAGCGUGUAGGCUGGUUUUCCAGGCAAAUCCGGAAAAUCAAGGCUGAGGCGUGAUGACGAGGCACUACGGUGCUGAAGCAACAAAUGCCCUGCUUCCAGGAAAAGCCUCUAAGCAUCAGGUAACAUCAAAUCGUACCCCAAACCGACACAGGUGGUCAGGUAGAGAAUACCAAGGCGCUUGAGAGAACUCGGGUGAAGGAACUAGGCAAAAUGGUGCCGUAACUUCGGGAGAAGGCACGCUGAUAUGUAGGUGAAGUCCCUUGCGGAUGGAGCUGAAAUCAGUCGAAGAUACCAGCUGGCUGCAACUGUUUAUUAAAAACACAGCACUGUGCAAACACGAAAGUGGACGUAUACGGUGUGACGCCUGCCCGGUGCCGGAAGGUUAAUUGAUGGGGUCAGCGCAAGCGAAGCUCUUGAUCGAAGCCCCGGUAAACGGCGGCCGUAACUAUAACGGUCCUAAGGUAGCGAAAUUCCUUGUCGGGUAAGUUCCGACCUGCACGAAUGGCGUAAUGAUGGCCAGGCUGUCUCCACCCGAGACUCAGUGAAAUUGAACUCGCUGUGAAGAUGCAGUGUACCCGCGGCAAGACGGAAAGACCCCGUGAACCUUUACUAUAGCUUGACACUGAACAUUGAGCCUUGAUGUGUAGGAUAGGUGGGAGGCUUUGAAGUGUGGACGCCAGUCUGCAUGGAGCCGACCUUGAAAUACCACCCUUUAAUGUUUGAUGUUCUAACGUGGACCCGUGAUCCGGGUUGCGGACAGUGUCUGGUGGGUAGUUUGACUGGGGCGGUCUCCUCCUAAAGAGUAACGGAGGAGCACGAAGGUUGGCUAAUCCUGGUCGGACAUCAGGAGGUUAGUGCAAUGGCAUAAGCCAGCUUGACUGCGAGCGUGACGGCGCGAGCAGGUGCGAAAGCAGGUCAUAGUGAUCCGGUGGUUCUGAAUGGAAGGGCCAUCGCUCAACGGAUAAAAGGUACUCCGGGGAUAACAGGCUGAUACCGCCCAAGAGUUCAUAUCGACGGCGGUGUUUGGCACCUCGAUGUCGGCUCAUCACAUCCUGGGGCUGAAGUAGGUCCCAAGGGUAUGGCUGUUCGCCAUUUAAAGUGGUACGCGAGCUGGGUUUAGAACGUCGUGAGACAGUUCGGUCCCUAUCUGCCGUGGGCGCUGGAGAACUGAGGGGGGCUGCUCCUAGUACGAGAGGACCGGAGUGGACGCAUCACUGGUGUUCGGGUUGUCAUGCCAAUGGCACUGCCCGGUAGCUAAAUGCGGAAGAGAUAAGUGCUGAAAGCAUCUAAGCACGAAACUUGCCCCGAGAUGAGUUCUCCCUGACUCCUUGAGAGUCCUGAAGGAACGUUGAAGACGACGACGUUGAUAGGCCGGGUGUGUAAGCGCAGCGAUGCGUUGAGCUAACCGGUACUAAUGAACCGUGAGGCUUAACCUU
rnacentral:rRNA from 1 species